AGGGUUAACAGGCUACCUCCAGCCUCUUAUAUAAAGACACUAAUCCUAUUCAUGAAGGCUCUGCUCUUAUGACCUAAUGACCUCCCAAAGGCUA